rnacentral:lncRNA from 1 species
ACAGAAGUCUUGACUCAUUUAUUUUUGGUCAGAAACCUUUCAAUUUUAUAUUGUCUGCUCUCGGCUUAUGAAAUAGUUUUCUUUUGCUGCUUCAAAGGAUCAAAUAGAUAUAGAAUUAACAUGAAUGCAGUAUUUGACAGAUCAAAGAAGAUGCAAAGUAUUAGAUUGGCCCAAGCGUUUCCAAAUUAUCUGUGGGAUUGCUAGGGGACUCCUUUACCUUCAUCAAGAUUCCAGAUUGAGGAUUAUUCAUAGAGAUCUGAAAGCUAGUAAUGUUCUACUUGAUAGUGAGAUGAACCCAAAAAUUUCAGAUUUUGGCAUGGCAAGAACUUUUGGAGGAGACCAGACUGAAGCCAAUACAAACAGAGUGGUUGGAACUUAGUAAGUCUACUUUUUCUGCAAAUUUGAUCUAUAGAUCCCCAUGAAAAUGCAUACUUUUAUCUGACAAUGUCCUGCAGUGGUUAUAUGGCACCAGAAUAUGCUAUCGAUGGCCUGUUUUCGGUAAAAUCAGAUGUGUUUAGCUUUGGCAUAUUGUUGUUGGAGAUAAUAAGUGGAAGAAAGAAUAGAGGAUUCUAUCAUAAAAAUCAAAGCGGCAACCUUAUUGAACAUGUAAGCCUCAUUGUCAUUAUUUUUUAUUACAUAUCUUGAAUUGAUGAAUGAUAAAAGAAUUUCUUUUUGCUGCAGGCAUGGAGAUUAUGGAAAGAAGGCAAGCCUUUGAAUCUUGCUGAUGAUUUCUUAGCAGAGACUGGCAGUCUAUCACAGGUGUUACGAUGCAUCCACAUUAGCCUUUUAUGUGUACAGCAGCAUCCUGAGGGGAGGCCAAGCAUGUCAUCCGUGGUUCUGAUGUUGGGAAGUGAGAAUGAAUUGCCUCUGCCCAAACAACCUGGUUUUUUGUUUCACAAGAGUCCAUUUGAAGCAGAUUCUUCAUCCGGUAACCAUGGAUCAUCUUCGAAAAACGAAAUAAGUUUAUCAGUUUUAGAGGCUCGAUAGAGGGUGAUAUGCUUCAUUAAACCUAUUAUGCUCCAAACUAUCAGUAAUGAUUCCAAUCCCACUUGAUGUUCGGGGCAUGUGCUUUUGGACCAAAUGCUAGUGAGAAAUGUUUUAAAAAUCAACAUGCAAUCAAGUACAAAUAUUAGUGUUGCAUUUAUUCCGUGGAUAGGUAGAUUGAAGGACCAAACUAAAGCUUCAUACAGUUCAGAUAUAACUGAAGCUUCAUACGGUUAAGAUGUACAAAUUUCAUGCAAUCUCAUCACUUACAAGUUGCUGACUUCUCUUGUUUUCUACUGCAUUUGUGUAAGAUCAAGAGCCACCUAAUCUAGCCGGCUUGGGAACCUCAAUAUGAGUGUUAAUUAAUUAGUGUGAUAAAUGAAUCAACAAACUAGCUUCAUUGUCUCUACAUUAUUCUGUGCAUAAUCAAACCUGUGUCAUCAACAACAAGAAAAUAUCAUUCAUGACUAGGAUUCCUCAGUUCCUUUGCUUGACUCCAGAAGUGAACUUAGUACCAUGAGACUGUAACCUCUUUUUGGGGCGCAAACGAAUGAACUUCACAUACAAGAUUAGUCAAGCUAAGUAUCAAUUAGAACUUUAAUAGAGGCUACAGAUUCCAGGUUGAAAGAAGCUGGUGAGGUCUUCAACAAAGAUAUGUUGCAGUUUUAAGGCUGUACAGUUUUCAUCUUCAUCUUUGUUUGGUCGUGGUCCAACCCCUUUGCUUAUGGGGGCUUCGACAGGCGUUGGACGACACGUUGAUGAGGCUGUCAGGGCGCCUUAAAACAAAAAGAAAAGGGAGAGCGUCCUCAUUGUACGUGACUGACACCUGAUACGAGGUUGGCUUUGUCCGGUUUCAGACAGAUUUGGUGGGCCCAACACGUUGGCAACAUUAUCAAACGCGAGAGUGAUAAUAGAUUGGCAAAAUGAAGAACACAUCUCUCACGGAUCCACUUCAGUGAGAUAUGGUGAGGGUCUUACGAUUAUAAAUAUAAAAUUUUUACUAUUUAUUAGAUAUAUUUUUUGAUUUGAUAACAUGAUAUUGUAAUUUAUAAAUUUAGAGAUGUCAACUGGUAGGAUAUUCGUUAAUUUUGAGAUACUAAAAUCUGAAUUCGAUUAAAAAAUAAAAUACCCAAACUCGAUAAUUACCUGAAUUUUUUUUAAAUUUACUAUCCUAACUCAAAUCCUAAUACAUAAUCACUACCCGAUAAUUACUCGAACCCGUUUAAAAAUCUGAUUAUGUAAAAAAUUAUUAAAAUACUCUUUAUAGAUACCCAAUUACCCAAACUCAAAUCUGUACCUGUAUCUAUAUACAAUAAUAUUUUUAUUCAUAUUUUAUAUAAUUCACCAAUAAUUAAAUUUAUAAAAGCACAUAAAUAAUAAAAUUUAAAUUUAAAUAAUCAAAAACAAAUAUCUCAAAUAUCAACUUAAAUAAUUAAAAACAAAUAUUAAACUACAACUUAAACAUUACAAGUUUAAUUAACUAUGUGGGUUUAUCCAUGAAAUUAAAAAAAAUAAUUAUAUUCCAAAAUUAUUCUAAUCUUAUAAUUUCUUUUUAGGUAUAUAUUUUAUAAGUUUAUAUACACAAAAGUAUAUAUUAUAAAUAAUAAUUUUAUAAGUUAUAUUUUCUAUAAUGUUAAUACAAUAUAGCAAGUAAACAUGUUUAUAUUUAAAGUAUAUAUACAAUAGUAAUUGUAUUCUUCAUAAAUUAACACAAUAUAUAAAAUAUAUGUAUUAAAAGAUAUUACAAGUUAAUUAAUAAUCAUAGUUUUAUGAAUUAAUUUAAUUAAUAAUAUGAAUUUGUCUUGAAUUACAUAAAAUUAAAAAAAUAUAUAAUCAGAUUCGGGUAUCGGGUAUCCAAAGGGUGAUAUUUGAACCCUACCUGAACCCGAUACAUGUAUUUUAGGGUACUUUAACUUUAUACAAUCAGAUCAGGUACUCGUAAGUACCCUGUAACAGGAUACCUAUAGACAUCCCUAUAUAAACUUACUUAAAUUUAUUAUUCUUAAUUUUUUAAAUACAUUUUUAUUACCCAUAAACUGUUUAUUAAGUUUACGACUCAUAAGUAUUUACAAACUUACAAUAAUAUAAUAAUUACGGUAAAAUAAUUUUUUUUAUCAUUAAAUUAAAAGUUUUAAUGAUGCAACUUGUCUAUUUCUUUUUGAACAUUAUGAAACUCAUAAAAAUAUUAUUAUUAUCAUCAUAGUCUUAGUUGAAAAUGAUGGUCAACAUCUAAAAAAAAGUGAUUAUCUUCUAGAAAAAGAAUUGCCUCUGCCCAAACAACCUGGUUUUUGGUUUCACAAGAGUCCCUUUGAAGCAAAUUCUACAUCAGGCAACUGCAGAUCAUCUUCUAGAAACGAAAAAAGUCUAUCAAUGUUAGAGGCUCGAUAGAGAGUGGUAUGCUUCAUUAAACCUAUUAUGCUCCAAACCAUCAGUAAUGACUCCAAUCCCACUUGAUGUUUGGGGCAUGUGCUUUUAGAGCCAAUGCUAGUGAGAAAUGUUUCAGAAAUCAAACAUGCAAUCAAGUAUAAAUAGUAGUGUUUUGUUUAUUUCAUUUUGCUGCAGGCAUGGAGAUUAUGGAAAGAAGGCAAGCCUUUGAAUCUUGCUGAUGAUUUCUUAGCAGACACUGGCAGUCUAUCACAGGUGUCACGAUGCAUCCACAUUAGCCUCUUAUGUGUACAACAGCAUCCUGAGGAGAGGCCAAGCAUGUCAUCCGUGGUUCUGAUGUUGGGAAGUGAAAAUGAAUUGCCUCUGCCCAAACAACCUGGUUUUUUGUUUCACAAUAGUCCCUUUGAAGUAGAUUCUUCAUCAGGCAACUAUAAAUCAUCUUCGAAAAACGAAAUAAGUCUAUCAAUGUUAGAGGCUCGAUAGAGGGUGGUAUGCUUCAUUAAACCUAUUAUGCUCCAAUCCCACUUGAUGUUUGGGGCAUGUGCUUUUAGAGCCAAUGCUAGUGAGAAAUGUUACAGAAAUUAAACAUGCAAUGAAGUAUAAAUAGUGGUGUUUUGUUUAUUUCAUGGAUAGAUAAGAUUGAAGGGCCAAACUGAAGCUUCAUACAGUUAACAUAUACAAAUUCCAUGCAAUCUCAUCAUUUACAAGUUUUUGACUUAUCUUGUUUUCGGCUGCAUUUAUGUAAUAUCAAACGUAAGAGUGAUAAUAGAUUGGCAAAAUCAUGAACACAUCACUCAAGGUCAGGGGAGGGGGAUUUGGCAAAAUUAUGAAGUGGUACUAGCAAUUUUAGGAAUGGGCCGGCAUGCUUAAUGAGCUUGUAGUGGACUAUCAAUUUUCUAAUGGGCUUAUUGUGGAUCAAGGCAUGUUCUAAUGGGCUUCUAUUGGACAACAAAUAUUGAUUUUUUUUUAUUAUGGAGGGUUUAUUGAUGGUUUUUUUUGGAAUGGAUUUAUUUAUACAUAAUUACAUAUAUAUUGUAUUUAAGAAAACAAAUAAAAUUUUGAAUUUCCAUAUUACUUUUAUUCUUAAUCUUUUAAAUGUAUUUUUACUAUUCACAAACUAAUUAUUAUAUUUAUGACUCAUAAAUGUAUACAAACUAACAACGACAUAACAAUCACUGUAAAAUAUUUUUUAUUCAUGAUUAAAUCAAAAACUUUAAUGAUACAACUUGUCUAUUUCUUUUUCAACAUAAUGAAAGUCAUAAAAAUAUUAUCAUCAUAGUCAUAGUUGAAAAUGAUGGUCAACAUUUAAAAAAAAAAGUGAUUAUCUUUUUUUUAAUUAAAGUAAUAGUAGAAGUAGUCAUUGGCACGUGAGUAAAAUAGCAUAAUUAACUAGCAGAUGCUUCCGGCUUGAUGCUACUUUCAGCUUGAUUUUGUCAUAACAAUAAUGUUGCCUUAAUAAUUAGUAAUUAUGUCAUUCACCAUGUAUUUUUGUUGGUUUUUGAAAGUUCUCUUUAGAUUUGCUGGCAUGACUUCAAAAUUAUAUAUAAUUAAAUAAUAUAUAUAAAUAUAUAUGUAUAAUAUUGUUUUAAAGAAGAAAAAGAAAGGAAAAUGGAGUUCUAUGUGCCAAAAAAUUGAUUUUAUUUGUUGAAUCAAAUAAAAAAUAAUUAAAUGUAUAAUUGAUAAAUCGUGUAUAAAAUUUUAAAAAAGAGAGUAUAUCUAUUAAUUAGAAAUAAUAAUUGAUUAUAUAAAUAUGUGAUUAAUUUUAAUUGAUUAACUAUUUUAAAUUAAUUACAUUAAUGAAUUAACUAAUUAAUUAGUUAAUUAAAUUAAUUAACUAACUAAUUUAUUUAUAAAAUAAUUUAAAUUAAUUAAUUUAAUUCUUUAAAACUUAACUAAUUUACUAAAAAUAAAUAUUUAGUAAUUUCACAUAUUUUAAUAUAUAAAUAUUUAGUAUUUAAAUAUUAGGUUAGUUUUGUCAUGCUAUUAUUUAUUAUUUUAAGGGAUAAAGUUGAAAAAUUAAAAAUUUACAUUAAAAAAAGGUAAGUUUGAAAAUAUAAAGGGAAUUUUUUAAAUUUACAUUACAUUCUCAUACUUCCAAACCAAAGACUACCAUCUAAUCUUCCCAACAAUUAUAUUACAUGCAAUCAUCAUUUUUCUAUGAUAUAUAAAACAUUCUAAAGUUUUUUUCAUCCAUCAUAUUCCCUGCAAUUAUCAUAUUUUUAUAUUAUACAAAACGUUGCAAAGUUCUUCUCAUUCAUCAUAUUCCCUGCAAUCAUCACUUUUUCAUAUUAUAUCAAUGUUGCAAAAUUCUUCUCAUCAAUAACAUUCUCAGUAAUCAAAUUAUUAACAAUUACAUUUUCAAUAAAAUAUAUAAAAAAAAAACACGGUUUAUACUAUCAAGAACAAACUAAUUAACAUGAAAAUAGGGGAAAUUGACACGAAGUCAAUUCCAUCGGACCCUUAGGACUUGUGAUUGCAAUUUUUUGUAAAUUCAGCCUAAAAGUAUAGGAAGACUUGACUUUUUGGUAAUCAUGUCGACUUCAUAAUGGUUAUUGAGAAGAAAAAAUCUCCCUGACGUACGUUUUUUUUAAGUCUAGAGAUGCAUGUUUACUUAAUUACUUGCACGUUGAGUGGUCUUGGUUUAAGUCAUAGUCUUACGGUCUAGUAGUGUACAAUGAAAUUAAUUUUAGAGGUUACUUUAUGAUAAAACCUAAGUGUAAAGUUCCCUGAUUUUUUUGUGUAACAAAGAAUUUUAGCAUCUUCGGUUUACUGAAACAGUUGGGAGCUCUACAUUAAGCUAGGGCGGACAAGAAUAUUCUGUUUCAUGGUUUUUUAAACUUUAAGUUACUUAACUGCAACUUAUUUCAGUUCCUAUUUCUCAAUAAUCUUAACUUCACAGCCAUCAUGUUAGUUAAAGAUAUUUCCAUCUCCAGGAAGAAGUUGAGGCCUAUAGAAUAGUUGUCGUCUCUGUCACGAUUGAUGAAGAAUUUCAAGGUCAAUGGACCCAAAGUCUUGCCUUGAAGCCUGAAGGUCAAUGCUGUUUAGAAUGUUCAAUCAAAUGGCAUCUAUUCUUAUCUUCAAAGCAAAAAGCUUUCAGACUAUACAUCCAUGGACAUGGAUAUCCUUUCUUUCAGUGCUUGUUUCCUCAUCAUCUUCACCAAAGCUUCCAGCGCACCCGACAGGAUUUCUCCGUCUGAGUCACUCACUGAUGGCACGACCUUGGUCUCUAGUGAUGGAAGCUUUGUAUUGGGUUUCUUCACUCCGGGGAGUUCUAAGAAUCGUUACUUGGGAAUUUGGUACAAUAACAUCCCCAUGCAAACUGUUGUAUGGGUUGCAAACAGGAUAAAUCCGAUAAAUGACACCACUGGCUUGCUGCAGAUAGAAAGCACUGGCAGAGUCGUGCUUCUAGGUCAGAACCAAACAACUGUUUGGUCAAUUAAUUCCACAGAAGCAGCUCAGAAUCCGAUUCUGCAGCUCCUGGAUUCAGGCAAUCUUGUUGUCAGAAAUGGAAAAGAUGGUGAUUCAGAGAACUACUUGUGGCAAAGCUUUGAUUAUCCAACUGAUACAAUGUUACCGGCGAUGAAGAUUGGUUGGGACCUGAGAACUAAUUUAAAUCGAAGACUAGCAGCAUGGAAGAACUCAGAUGAUCCAUCUCCUGGGGACCUUACUUAUGGGGUGGAACUCCAAGGCAAUCCAGAGGUGGUGCUGCGGAAAGGCUCAGAAAAGUACCAUCGCAGUGGCCUCUGGAAUGGCGAUGGAUUUAGUGGUGCACAAAAUUUAAGAUCAAAUCCGGUCUAUGAGUACGACUUUGUCUGGAAUGAGGAGGAGGUGUACUACAUAAAUUACCUCAAAAAUAAAUCGGUGAUGUCAAGGUUAGUUUUGAACCAAACUGAAAAGGUUAGACAGCGGUACACAUGGAACCCAGAAACUCAAACUUGGAUGUUGAUUUCCAUCAUGCCAAGUGACUGUUGUGACAUACUUGGACUUUGUGGUGCAAAUGGGAACUGCGAUAAUUCCACGCUUCCAGCUUGCCAAUGUUUGAAAGCAUUCAGGCCUAAAUCGCUGGAAAGAUGGAACUCCUUAGACUGGUCUGAAGGGUGUAUACACAAUAAGCCAUUAAACUGCCAAAGCGGAGAUGGAUUUAUUAGAAUUGAGAGGGUGAAAACGCCAGAUACCUCACAUUCUUGGGUGAGCAAAAGUAUGAAUCUCGAGGAAUGCAGGGCUAAGUGCUUGCAGAACUGUUCUUGUAUGGCAUACACUAAUUUAGAUAUUAGAGGAGGAGGUAGCGGCUGCGCCAUGUGGUUUGGUGAUCUAAUUGAUAUUAAACAAUUUCAAUCAUUUGGCCAGGAUCUUUACAUCAGAGUCUCUGCUUCAGAAGCAGGUAUCAGUUUAAAAUCGGAACAUUUUCUUGUUACAGCUUGUGAUAAUUUCUUUUGGAAAUUGUUUAAUUAUACUUGGGCUCCUUCAUCAAUAAUGAUCAUGCAGAACUGAAAAACAAGGCUAAGGCGAAGCUGGCCGUGAUAAUUGCAACACCAAUUGCUAUGUUCUUGGGGCUUCUUGUAGUCAUUUAUUACAUCCGGAGAAGGAGAAGAAAAUUAGAAGGUAAUAUCAACUAUGGUCCUCAUUAAAGCAGGGGAAAGUUGGUAUUUGAUACAAAUACCAAAAUCGUUUCUGCUCACAGCACCGCUAUCAGAUCCCUGCCCUGUUUUCAAGAAAACAGUAAUACUAAAAUUUGUCAUUUCUCUUAUCAAAUUUGAUAAUACAUGGUUUUCAAUUUUGUUUUAUGAUCUGACAAAAAAGUGAGUCCAUGAACAAUUGGUUCGAUAUUUUUGGUUUUGGUGUUCAGAAGAAGCAUACAGCUUUUGUCUAUCUAAAUCUAUCAAUAUGCAUGAGAAAGCGUAUCUCUGUGUUGAAUGCUAGCCUAUUUUGACUACUGUUUCAGAUGAAGUUAAAGAAAGGAUUUUAAAUGAUCAAAAGAACCAAGGCCAGAGUGAAGAUAUGGAGCUUGCUGUAUUCGAGCUAGCUACGAUAGCCAGAGCUACUGGUAGUUUUUCUUUUAAUAACAAGCUAGGUGAAGGAGGUUUUGGACCUGUUUAUAAGGUAAAAGUAAGCACAUAUUACUAAAGUGAUCUCAAGCACGGAGAAUUCAUCUUUAUUGAAAGCUCAUCAAAAUAUUCCUAGUCUCCAGGGGACACUUGCAAAUGGACAAGAAAUUGCUGUGAAAAGACUUUCAAAGAGUUCCGGACAAGGAUUGAACGAGUUUAAAACUGAAGUAAAGUUGAUUGCCAAACUUCAGCAUCGGAAUCUUGUAAGGCUUCUUGGGUGCUGCAUUCAUGGAGAGGAGAAAAUGCUGGUUUAUGAAUACAUGCCUAACAGAAGUCUUGACUCAUUUAUUUUUGGUCAGAAACCUUUCAAUUUUAUAUUGUCUGCUCUCGGCUUGUGAAAUAGUUUUCUUUUGCUGCUUCAAAGGAUCAAAUAGAUAUAGAAUUAACAUGAAGGCAGUACUUGACAGAUCAAAGAAGGUGCAAAGUAUUAGAUUGGCCCAAGCGUUUCCAAAUUAUCUGUGGGAUUGCUAGGGGACUACUCUACCUUCAUCAAGAUUCCAGAUUGAGGAUUAUUCAUAGAGAUCUAAAAGCUAGUAAUGUUUUGCUUGAUAGUGAGAUGAACCCAAAAAUUUCAGAUUUUGGCAUGGCAAGACUUUUGGAGGAGACCAGACUGAAGCCAAUACCAACAGAGUGGUUGGAACUUAGUAAGUCUACUUUUUCUGCAAAUUUGAUCUAUAAAUGCCCAUGAAACUCUUAUCUGACAAUGUUUUGCAGUGGUUAUAUGGCACCAGAAUAUGCUAUCGAUGGGCUGUUUUCGGUAAAAUCAGAUGUGUUUAGCUUUGGCAUAUUGUUGUUGGAGAUAAUAAGUGGAAGAAAGAAUAGAGGAUUAUAUCAUCAAAAUCAAAAUGGCAACCUUAUUGAACAUGUAAGCCUGAUUGUCAUUAUCUUUUAUUACAUAUUUUGAACCGAUGAAUGAUAAAAGAAUUUCAUUUUGCUGCAGGCAUGGAGAUUAUGGAAAGAAGGCAGGCCUUUGGAUCUUGUUGAUGAGUUCUUAGCAGAGACCGGCAGUCUAUCACAGGUGUUACGAUGCAUCCACAUUAGCCUUUUUUGUGUACAACAACAUCCUAAGGAGAGGCCAAGCAUGUCAUCCGUGGUUCUGAUGUUGGGAAGUGAAAAUGAAUUGCCUCUGCCCAAACAACCUGGUUUUUGGUUUCACAAGAGUCCCUUUGAAGCAGAUUCUACAUCAGGCAACUACAAAUCAUCUUCUAGAAACGAAAUAAGUCUAUCAAUGUUAGAGGCUCGAUAGAGGGUGGUAUGCUUCAUUAAACCUAUUAUGCUCCAAACCAUCAGCAAUGACUCCAAUCCCACUUGAUGUUUGGGGCAUGUGCUUUUAGAGCCACUGCUAGUGAGAAAUGUUUCAGAAAUCAAACAUGCAAUUAAGCAUAAAUAGUAGUGUUUUGUUUAUUUCAUGGAUAGAUAGAUUGAAGGGCCGAACUGAAGCUUCAUACGGUUAACAUAUACAAAUUCCAUGCAAUCUCAUCAUUUACAAGUUUUUAAUUUAUCUUGUUUUCUGCUGCAUUUAUGUAAUAUCAAGGGCCAGCUAACCUUGUCAACUUGAAAAAUGAUAAUAUUAAUGCAUGAUGAGCCCAUCUUUGCCCUUAAUAUACCAAGUGAGAUAAAUGAAUCAACAAACUAACAUCAUUGUCUCGAUAUCAUUUUGUGCAUAAUCAAACAUUUGUUAUCAACAACAAAAAAAGAUCAUUCAUAAUUCAGGGAUUGCUCAGGUCCUUUUGCUUAAAUCCAGAAGCGGCUUAGUACUAUGAGACUGUAACCUCUUUUUGGGGCACAAAGGAAUGGACUUCACAAGAUUGGUCAAGCUAACUAGCAACUAGAUCUUUAACAGAGGCUAGGGAUUCCAAGGCUAUAGAGUUUCAUCUUCAUCUUUGUUUCAUCGUAGUCCAACUCUUUGGUUAUAGGGGCUUCAAAGGCGUUGGAAGACGUAACGAUCAGGCUGUCAGGGCUUCGCAAAACAAAAAGAAAAGGGAAGAGCACGUUGAUUGUACGUGACUGACAGGUGAUACGAGGUUGGCUUUGCCCUGUUCCAGACAAAGAUUUGGUGGGCCCAACACGUUGGCAAUAAUAUCAAACCUAAGAGUGAUAAUAGAUUGGCAAAACCAUGAACACAUCACUCAUCGCUCAGGGGAGGGGGAUUUGGAAAAAAUUAUGAAGUGGUACCAGCAAUUUUAGGCAUGGGCCGACAUGCUUAAUGGGCUUGUAGUGGACUAGCAAUUUUCUAAUGGGCUUAUUGUGGAUCAAGGACUGUUCUAAUGGGCUUCUAUUGGACAACAAAUGUUGGUUUUUUUUUUGGAAUGGAUUUAUUUAUACAUAAUUACAUAUAUAUUGUAUUUAAGAAAACAAAUGAAAUUUUGAAUUUCCACAUUACUUUUAUUCAUAAUUUUUUAAAUACAUUUUUACUAUCGCAAACCGUUUAUUAUGUUCACUACUCAUAAAUAUAUACAAACUUACAACGACAUAAUAAUUAUUGUAAAACAUUUUUUAUUCAUGAUUAAAUCAAAAUUUUAAUGAUACAGCUUGUCUAUUUCUUUUUCAACAUAAUGAAACUCAUAAAAAUAUUAUUAUUAUUAUCAUCAUAGUCAUAGUUGAAAAUGCUGGUCAACAUUUCAAAAAAAAAGUGAUUAUCUUUUUGUUAAUUAAAGUAAUAGUAAAAUAUCAAGAAACACGGUUUAUCCUAUUAAGAACAAACUAAUUAACAUGAAAAUAGGAAAAAUUCACACGAAGUCAACCCUAUCGGACCCUUGGAAUUUUGAUUGCAAUUUCUUGUAAAUUCAGCCUAAAAGUAUAGGAAGACUUGACUUUUUGAUAAUCAUGUCGACUUCAUAAUAGUUAUUGAGAAGAAAAGAUCUCCAUGAGGGACGUUUUUUUUAAGUCUAGAGAUGCAUGUUUACUUAAUUACUUGCACGUUGAGUGGUCUUGGUUUAAUUACUUAAUUACAGUCUAGUAGUGUACAAUGAAAUUAUUUUUAGGGGUUACUUUAUGAUAAAAUCAAGUGUAAAGUUCCCUGAUUUUUUUGUGUAACAAAGAAUUUUAGCAUCUUUAGUUUACUGAAACAGUUGGGAGCUCUACAUUAAGCUAGGGCAGACAAGAAUAUUCUGUUUCAUGGUUUUUUAAACUUAACUGCAACUUAUUUCAGUUCCUAUGUCUCAAUAAUCUUAACUUCACAGCCAUCAUGUUAGUUAAAGAUAUUGCUAUCUCCAAGAAGAAGUUGUGGCCUAUAGAAUAGUUGUAGUCUCUGUCACGAUUGAUGAAGAAUUCCAAGGUCAGUGGACCCAAAGUCUUGCCUUAAAGCCUGAAGGUCAAUACUGUUUAGAAUGUUCAAUCAAAUGGCAUCUAUUCUUAUCUUCAAAGCAAAUAGCUUUCAGACCAUACAUCCAUGGACAUGGAUAUCCUUUCUUUCAGUGCUUGUUUCCUCAUCAUCUUCUCCAAAGCUUCCAGCGCACUCGACAAGAUUUCUCCGUCUGAGUCACUCACUGAUGGCACGACCUUGGUCUCUAGUGAUGGAAGCUUUGUAUUGGGUUUCUUCACUCCGGGGAGUUCCAAGAAUCGUUACUUGGGAAUUUGGUACAAUAACAUCCCCAUGCAAACUGUUGUAUGGGUUGCAAACAGGAUAAAUCCGAUAAAUGACACCACUGGCUUGCCGCAGAUAGAAAGCACUGGCAGAGUCGUGCUUCUAGGUCAGAACCAAACAACUGUUUGGUCAAUUAAUUCCACAGAAGCAGCUCAGAAUCCGAUUCUGCAGCUCCUGGAUUCAGGCAGUCUUGUUGGCAGAGAUGGAAAAGAUGGUGAUUCAGAGAACUACUUGUGGCAAAGCUUUGAUUAUCCAACUGAUACAAUGUUACCAGGGAUGAAGAUUGGUUGGGACCUGAUAACUAAUUUAAAUCGAAGAUUAGCAGCAUGGAAGAACUCAGAUGAUCCAUCUCCUGGGGACCAUACUUAUGUGGUGGAACUCCAAGGCAAUCCAGAGGUGGUGCUGCGGAAAGGCUCAGAAAAGUACCAUCACAGUGGCCUAUGGAAUGGCGAUGGAUUUAGUGGUGCACAAAAUUUAAGAUCAAAUCCGGUCUAUGAGUACGACUUUGUCUGGAAUGAGGAGGAGGUGUACUACGUAAAUUACCUCAAAAAUAAAUCGGUGAUGUCAAGGUUUGUUUUGAACCAAACUGAAAAGGUAAGACAGCGGUACACAUGGAACCCAGAAACUCUAACUUGGAUGUUAAUUUCAAACAUGCCAAGUGACUGUUGUGACAUACUUGGACUUUGUGGUGCAAAUGGGAACUGCGAUAAUUCCACGCUUCCAGCUUGCCAAUGUUUGAAAGCAUUCAGGCCUAAAUCGCUGGAAAGAUGGAACUCCUUAGACUGGUCUGAAGGGUGUAUACACAAUAAGCCAUUAAACUGCCAAAGCGGAGAUGGAUUUAUUAGAAUUGAGAGGGUGAAAACGCCAGAUACCUCACAUUCUUGGGUGAGCAAAAGUAUGAAUCUCGAGGAAUGCAGGGCUAAGUGCUUGCAGAACUGUUCUUGUAUGGCAUACACUAAUUUAGAUAUUAGAGGAGGAGGUAGCGGCUGCGCCAUGUGAUUUGGUGAUCUAAUUGAUAUUAAACAAUUUCAAUCAGAUGGCCAGGAUCUUUACAUCAGAGUCUCUGCUUCAGAAGCAGGUAUCAGUUUAAAAUCAGAACAUAUUCUUGUUACAGCUUGUGAUAAUUUCUUUUGGAAAUUGUUUAAUUAUAUUUGGGCUCCUUCAUCAAUAAUGAUCAUGCAGAACUGAAAAACAAGGCUAAGGCGAAGCUGGCCGUGAUAAUUGCAACACCAAUUGCUAUGUUCUUGGGGCUUCUUGUAGUCAUUUAUUACAUCCGGAGAAGGAGGAGAAAAUUAGAAGGUAAUAUCAACUAUGGUCCUCAUAAAGCAGGGGAAAGUUGGUAUUUGAUACAAAUACCAAAAUCGUUUUUGCUCACAGCAUCGCUAUCAAAUCCCUGCCCUGUUUUCAAGAAAACAGUAAUACUAAAAUUUGUCAUUUCACUUAUCAAAUUUGAUAAUAGAUGGUUUUCAAUUUUGUUUUAUGAUCUGACAAAAAGUGAGUCCAUGAACAAUUGGUUCGAUAUUUUUGGUUUUGGUGUUCAGAAGAAGCAUACAGCUUUUGUUCUUCUAACUAAAUCUCUCAAUAUGAUUAAGAAAGCGUAUUUCUAUGUUGAAUGCUAGCCUAUUUUGACUACUGUUUCAGAUGAAGUUGAAAAAAGGAUUGAAAAUGAUCAAAAGAACCAAGGCCAGAGUACAGAUAUGGAACUUGCCGUAUUCGAGCUAGGUACGAUAGCCAGAGCUACUGAUAGUUUUUCUUUUAAUAACAAGCUAGGUGAAGGAGGUUUUGGACCUGUUUAUAAGGUAAAAGUGACAACAUAUUACUACAAUGAUCUCAAUUGCAGAGAAUUCAUCUUUAUUGAAAGCUCAUCAAAAUAUUCUUAUUCUCCAGGGGACACUUGCAAUUGGACAAGAAAUUGCUGUGAAAAGACUUUCCAAGAGUUCCGGACAAGGAUUGAACGAGUUUAAAACUGAAGUAAAGUUGAUUGCCAAACUUCAGCAUCGGAAUCUUGUAAGGCUUCUUGGGUGCUGCAUUCAUGGAGGGGAGACAAUGCUGGUUUAUGAAUAUAUGCCUAACAGAAGUCUUGACUCAUUUAUUUUUGUCGGUAACCUUUCAAUUUUAUAUCUUCUGCUCUCGGCUUGUGAAAUAAUUUUCUUUUGCUGCUUCAAAAGAUCAAAUAGAUACAGUAUUAAUAUGAAUGCAGUACUUGACAGAUCAAAGAAGGUGCAAAGUAUUAGAUUGGCCCAAGCGUUUCCAAAUUAUCUGUGGGAUUGCUAGGGGACUCCUUUACCUUCAUCAAGAUUCCAGAUUGAGGAUUAUUCAUAGAGAUCUAAAAGCUAAUAAUAUUUUGCUUGAUAGUGAGAUGAACCCAAAAAUUUCAGAUUUUGGCAUGGCAAGAACUUUUGAAGGAGACCAGACUGAAGCCAAUACCAACAGAGUGGUUGGAACUUAGUAAGUCUACUUUUUCUGCAAAUUUGAUCUAUAAAUGCCCAUGAAACUCUUAUCUGACAAUGUUCUGCAGCGGUUAUAUGGCACCAGAAUAUGCUAUCGAUGGGCUGUUUUCCGUAAAAUCAGAUGUGUUUAGCUUUGGCAUAUUGUUGUUGGAGAUAAUAAGUGGAAGAAAGAAUAGAGGAUUCUAUCAUCAAAAUCAAAGCGGCAACCUUAUUGAACAUGUAAGCCUCAUUGUCAUUAUCUUUUAUUACAUAUCUUGAACUGAUGAAUGAUAAUUGCAUAUAUGUUGUAUUUAAUAAAACAAAUGAAAUUUUAAAUUUUCAUAUUACUUUAUUUUUAAAUUUUUUAAAAACAUUUACACUCUUCGUGAACUGUUUAUUAUAUUCACAACUCAUAAAUAUACACAAACUUAUAACGACAUAAUAAUUACGAUAAAAUAUUUUUUUAUUUAUCAUUAAAUCAAGAGUUUUAAUGAUACAACUCGUCUAUUUUCUUUUUCAACAUAAUGAAAACUCAUAAAAAUAUUAUUAUCUUUUUAUUAAUUAAAGUAGUAGUAGUAGGAGUAGCAUGGUACUCAUUGGCAUGUGAGCGGACGCAUUGGAGAAAAUAGCAUAAUCAAAUAAUCGAUAGUUCCUCCUGCUUGAUACUACUUUCAGCUUGAUUUUGUCAUGACAAUAAUGUUGUCUUAAUAAUAAGUAAUUAUGUCAUUCACCAUGUAUUUUUGUUGGUUUUUGGAAGUUCUCUUUAGGUUUGCUAACAUGACUGCAAAAUUAUACAUAACUAAAUAAUAUAUAUGUAUAGUAUUAUUUUUAAAAAGAAAAAAAAAGGAAAAUUGAGUUCUAUGUGCCAAAAAAAUUGAUUUUAUUUGUUGAAUAAAAUAAAAAAUAAUUAAAUAUAUAAUUAAUAAACCAUAUAUAAUUUUUUUUUAAAAAGCAUAUCUAUUAAUUAGAAAUGAUAAUUAAUUAUAUAAAUAUGUGAUUAAUAUUAAUUGAUUAACUAUUUUAAAUUAAUUACUUUAAUGAAUUAACUAAUUAAUUAAUUAACUACUUUAUUUGUAAAAUAAUUUCAAUUAAUUAAUUUAAUUCUUUAAAACUUAACUAAUUUACUAAAAAUAAAUAUUUAGUAAUUUCACAUAUUUUAAUAUAUAAAUAUUCAAUAUUCAAAUAUUAUGUUAUUUUUGUCAAGCUAUUAUUUAUUAUUUUAAGGGAUAAAGUUGAAAAAUUAAAAAUUUAUAUUAAAAAAAGAAGGUAAAUUUGAAAAUAUAAAGGUCAUUUUGUAAUACUGGGUCAGUUCUAUCGGACCCUUAGGACAUGUGAUUGCAAUUUCUUGUAAAUUCAGUUUAAAAGUCUAGAAAAGACUUAGACUUUUUGGCAUUCAUGUUGACUUUAAUUACUUGUAAAUCUCCAUGACGUACGUUUUUUCCAAGUCUAGAGAUGCAUGUUUACUUAAUUACUAGCACUUUGAGUGCUCUUGGUUUAAGUCAUACUCUUACGGUCUAGUAGUGUACGAGGCAAUUAAUUUUAGAGGUUACUUUACGAUAAAAUCAAGUGUAAAGUUCCCUGAUUUUUUGUGUAACCAAGAAUUUUAACAUCUUGGGUUUACUGAAACAGUUGGGAGCUCUACAUUGAGCGAGGGCAGACAAUAAUAUUCUGUUUCAUAGUUUUUUAAACUUAACUGCAACUUAUUUCAGUUCCUAUUUCUCAAUAAUCUUAACUUGACAGCCAUCAUGUUAGUUAAAAGAUAUUUCUAUCUCCAGGAAGAAGUUGAGGCCUAUAGAAGAGUUGUAGUCUCUGUCACGAUUGAUUAAUAAUUCCAAGGUCAAUGGAGCCAAAGUCUUGCCUUGAAGCCUGAAGAUCAAUGCUGUUUACAAUGUUCAAUCAAAUGGCAUCUCUUCUUAUCUUCCAAGCAAAAAGCUUUCAGACCAUACAUCCAUGGGCAUGGAUAUCCUUUCUUUCAGUGCUUGUUUCCUCAUCAUCUUCUCCAAAGCUUCCAACGCACUCGACAAGAUUUCUCCGUCUGAGUCACUCACUGAUGGCACGACCUUGGUCUCUAGUGAUGGAAGCUUUGUAUUGGGUUUCUUCACUCCGGGGAGUUCCAAGAAUCGUUACUUGGGAAUUUGGUACAAUAACAUCCCCAUGCAAACUGUUGUAUGGGUUGCAAACAGGAUAAAUCCGAUAAAGGACACCACUGGCUUGCUCAAGAUAGAAACCAAUGGCACAGUCGUGCUUCUAGGUCAGAACCAAACAACUGUUUGGUCAAUUAAUUCCACAGAAGCAGCUCAGAAUCCGAUUCUGCAGCUCCUGGAUUCAGGCAAUCUUGUUGUCAGAGAUGGAAAAGACGGUGAUUCAGAGAACUACUUGUGGCAAAGCUUUGAUUAUCCAACAGAUACAAUGUUAGCAGGGAUGAAGAUUGGUUGGGACCUGAGAACUGGUUUAAAUCGAAGACUAGCAGCAUGGAAGAACUCAGAUGAUCCAUCUCCUGGGGACCUUACUUAUGGGGUAGAACUCCAAGGCAAUCCAGAGAUGGUGCUGCGGAAAGGCUCAGAAAAGUACUAUCGCAGUGGACUAUGGAAUGGCAAUGGAUUUAGUGGUAACCCAAGUUUAAGAUCAAAUCCGGUCUAUGAUUUCGACUUUGUUUGGAAUGAGGAGGAGGUGUACUACAUAAAUUACCCAAAAAAUAAAUCCGUGAUGUUAAGGGUUGUUUUGAACCAAACUGAAAACCUAAGACAGCGGUACACAUGGAACCCAGAAAUUCAAACUUGGAAGUUGUUUCUCUUCCAACCAAGUGACUAUUGUGACAGACUUGGACUUUGUGGUGCAAAUGGGAACUGCGAUAAUUCCAAGCUUCCAGCUUGCCAAUGCUUGAAAGCAUUCAGGCCUAAAUCGCUGGAAAAAUGGAACUCUUCAGACUGGUCUGAUGGGUGUGUACACAAUAAGCCAUUAAACUGCCAAAGCGGAGAUGGAUUUAUUAGAAUUCAGAGGGUGAAAACGCCAGAUACCUCACAUUCUUGGGUGAACAAAAGCAUGAACCUCAAGGAAUGUAGGGCUAGGUGCUUGCAGAACUGUUCAUGUAUGGCAUACACUAAUUUAGAUAUUAGAGGAAAAGGUAGCGGCUGCGCCAUGUGGUUUGAUGAUCUAAUUGAUAUUAAACAAUUCCAAUCAUUUGGCCAAGAUCUUUACAUCAGAGUGUCUGCUUCAGAAGCAGGUAUCAGUUUAAAAUCGGAACAUAUUCUUGUUGCAGCUUGUGAUAAUUUCUUUUGGAAAUUGUUUAAUUAUAUUUGUGCUCCUUCAUCAAUAUUGAUCAUGCAGAACAGAAAAACAAGCCUAAGGCGAAGCUGGCCAUGAUAAUUGCAACACCAAUUGCUAUGUUCUUUGGGCUUCUUGUAGUCAUUUAUUACAUCAGGAGAAGAAGGAGAAAAUUAGAAGGUAACAUCGACUAUGGUCCUCAUAAAGCAGGGGAAAGUUGGUAUUUGAUACCAAUACCGAAAUCAUUUUUGCUCACAGCAGCGCUAUCAAAUCCCUGCCCUGUUUUCAAGAAAACAGUAAUUUUGAAAUUUGCCAUUUCACUUAUAUUCCCUAUCAAAUAUGAUAAUAGAUGGUUUUCAAUUUUGUUUUUUGAUCUGACAAAAGAGGGAGUCCACGAACAAUCGGUUGGAUAUUUUUGUUUUAGUGUUCAGAAGAAGCAUACAGCCUUUUUUCUUCUAUCUAAAUCUAUCAAUAUGCAUAAGAAAGCAUAUUUCUAUGUUGAAUGCUAGCCUAUUUUGACUACUGUUUCAGAUGAAGCUGAAGAAAGGGAUGAAAUGGAUCACAUGAACCAAGGCCAGAGUGAAGAUAUGGAGCUUGCUGUAUUCGAGCUAGGUACGAUGGCCAGAGCUACUGAUAAUUUUUGUUUUGAUAACAAGCUAGGUGAAGGAGGUUUUGGACCUGUUUAUAAGGUAAAGUUGACAGCAUAUUACUGAAGUGAUCUCAAGUACAGAGAAUUCAUAUUUAUUGAAAGCUCAUCUAAAUGUUCUUAUUCUCCAGGGGACACUUGCAAAUGGACAAGAAAUUGCUGUGAAAAGACUUUCAAAGAGUUCCGGACAAGGAUUGAACGAGUUUAAAACUGAGGUAAAGUUGAUUGCCAAACUUCAGCAUCGGAAUCUUGUAAGGCUUCUUGGGUGCUGCAUUCAUGGAGAGGAGAAAAUGCUGGUUUAUGAAUACAUGCCUAACGGAAGUCUUGACUCAUUUAUUUUUGGUCAGCAACCUUUCAAUUCUAUAUUUUCUGCUCUCGGCUUGUGAAAUAGUUUUAUUUUGCUGCUUCAAAAGGUCAAAUAGAUACAGAAUUAACAUGAAUGCAGUAUUUGACAGAUCAAAAAAGAUGCAAAGUAUUAGAUUGGCCCAAGCGUUUCCAAAUUAUCUGUGGGAUUGCUAGGGGACUACUCGACCUUCAUCAAGAUUCCAGAUUGAGGAUUAUUCAUAGAGAUCUAAAAGCUAGUAAUGUUUUGCUUGAUGGUGAGAUGAACCCAAAAAUUUCAGAUUUUGGCAUGGCAAGAACUUUUGGAGGAGACCAGACUGAAGCCAACACAAACAGAGUGGUUGGAACUUAGUAAGUCUACUUUUUCUGCAAAUUUGAUCUAUAGAUCCCCAU